AUUUCUCACAUGAGGUCCCGGCGAGAAGGAUCUGCCUCCAUCAGAUUCACACUCGGGAGAGGAGCCCGGCCUCCAGGAGCGCCAGGCAGAGGAGAGGGCACCCAUUAGGAAGAAGAACACAGAGCCCAUGGGAGUGAAAAGUUUGAUGCUGGAAAGCAACAGUAACACAUUCUGCUACAGAGCGGAAUGAAAAACCCUGGAGAGCAAAUUCCUGAGCCAGAGAAUGGAGCGGAGGAACCAGCCAAGGAGGAUAAAGAGAUGGGAACAGGCAAGAAAACCUGGAAGACUACCUGCUGUCAUCAGGGGUUGGUUGGUUGAGCCUUUCCCUGUGCUUGCCUGGCAGAGCUGCAUGCUCUGAGGCUGCCCGACCCUGCGCUCCAGAACAGGAGACAAGUGGCUGGUCCCAGGCCACCCGGCCGGGUGCAAUGCAGAAAUGGAGAUCUGCCCCGGGGCAGCCAGAUGAGUGUAGGAAGGAGGGAGGGCUGC
rnacentral:antisense_RNA from 1 species